CAGAAGGUGCAAGCGUUACUCGGAAUUACUGGGCGUAAAGCGUCUGUAGGUGUCUUUCCACGUCUGACUUAAAAUCGCGGGGCUCAACCCCGCGCUCGAGUUGGAAACGAGAAAGAUCGAGUCAUUCAGAGGCAUCUGGAAUGUCAUGUGUAGGGGUAAAAUCCGUAGAUACAUGAUGGAACGCCAAAAGCGAAGGCAGGAUGCUAGGAAUGUACUGACACUCAGAGACGAAAGCGUGGGGAGCAAAGGGGAUUAGAUAGCCCCGUAGUCCACGCCCUCAACGAUGCGAGCUCGGUGUGGGAAUUUUCAAUCAGUUCCCGUGCCCUAAGCUUACGCGGUAAGCUCGCCGCCUGGGAAGUACGGCCGCAAGGCUA
rnacentral:rRNA from 1 species